rnacentral:rRNA from 1 species
GAUGAACGCUGACAGAAUGCUUAACACAUGCAAGUCAACUUGAACUUCGGUUUGGGUGGCGGACGGGUGAGUAACGCGUAAAGAACUUGCCUCACAGAUAGGGACAACAUUUGGAAACGAAUGCUAAUACCUGAUAUUAUGAUUUUAGGGCAUCCUAGGAUUAUGAAAGCUAUAUGCGCUGUGAGAGAGCUUUGCGUCCCAUUAGCUAGUUGGAGAGGUAACGGCUCACCAAGGCGAUGAUGGGUAGCCGGCCUGAGAGGGUGAUCGGCCACAAGGGGACUGAGACACGGCCCUUACUCCUACGGGAGGCAGCAGUGGGGAAUAUUGGACAAUGGACCAAGAGUCUGAUCCAGCAAUUCUGUGUGCACGAUGAAGUUUUUCGGAAUGUAAAGUGCUUUCAGUUGGGAAGAAAAAAAUGACGGUACCAACAGAAGAAGUGACGGCUAAAUACG